rnacentral:lncRNA from 1 species
GUAUAUUUUUUUUGAUUGCAUAUAUUAAAUCUAUAUGGCUAUUCAAAAUGAAAAGGAACUGAAUAACAAUAUAAGACAAUCUAAUCUAUAUCUAUAUCUAUAAAUGAAUAUACUGUCUAUCCUAUAUUUACAUAUGAAUACUGACCUCAUUAAUUCAAAGUGAUUUAAGGGGUGUGUGUGGAUUAUACAUCAACAAUAACAACUCAUUACUUGGUGGUGGACUAAGUGGGGGAACCAUGUUCUUUGAUUGGAAAUUGUUUUUGCCAUAAAAUCAUCCCAACUCUUCAUUUUAGGAAAGCUGUUAAUAAAAGGAAAGGAGACUACCAAAGAUCUGCCUUCAAAAACCUAUUCUUUAAAUGACAAAAAUAAACAGAUUAAAUACAUAGAACCACUUAAGAGGUUGAAUAGUUCAAGAUUUGGGACAAGGACAAUUACAAGAUGGGAUUCAACACUUUUCCAUUUUCUUCUGAUAACAUUAUCA